CUGGUUGAUCCUGCCAGUAGUCAUAUGCUUGUCUCAAAGAUUAAGCCAUGCAUGUCUAAGUUCAAGCGAAAAUAAAGUGAAACCGCGAAUGGCUCAUUACAUCAGUUAUGGUUCCUUAGAUCGCACUUACUACUUGGAUAACUGUGGUAAUUCUAGAGCUAAUACAUGCACUGAGCUCCAACCCUCGUGGAAGGAGCGCUUUUAUUAGAUCAAAGCCAAUCGGGCCUUCGGGUCCGUACCGUUGGUGACUCUGAAUAACUUUGCUGAUCGCAUGGUCUCGUACCGGCGACGUAUCUUUCAAGUGUCUGCCUUAUCAACUGUCGAUGGUAGGUUAUGCGCCUACCAUGGUUGUAACGGGUAACGGGGAAUCAGGGUUCGAUUCCGGAGAGGGAGCCUGAGAAACGGCUACCACAUCCAAGGAAGGCAGCAGGCGCGCAAAUUACCCACUCCCGGCACGGGGAGGUAGUGACGAAAAAUAACGAUACGGAACUCACAUGAGGCUCCGUAAUCGGAAUGAGUACACUUUAAAUCCUUUAACGAGGAUCUAUUGGAGGGCAAGUCUGGUGCCAGCAGCCGCGGUAAUUCCAGCUCCAAUAGCGUAUAUUAAAGUUGUUGCGGUUAAAAAGCUCGUAGUUGGAUCUCGGUUUCGGGCGGGUGGUGCGCCUUGCGGUGUUUACUGUCUGCCCGGACGAUUUUGUUGGUUCGUUCGUGGUUCUCUUAACCGAGUGCCACGGGUGGCCAGCACGUUUACUUUGAAAAAAUUGGAGUGCUCAAAGCAGGCGCUACAGCCUGAACAUUAGUGCAUGGAAUAAUGGAAUAGGACCUCGGUUCUAUUUCGUUGGCUUUCGGAGUCGAGGUAAUGAUUAAUAGGAACAGACGGGGGCAUUCGUACUGCGACGUUAGAGGUGAAAUUCUUGGAUCGUCGCAAGACGAACUACUGCGAAAGCAUUUGCCAAGAAUGUUUUCAUUAAUCAAGAACGAAAGUUAGAGGUUCGAAGGCGAUCAGAUACCGCCCUAGUUCUAACCAUAAACGAUGCCGACCGGCGAUCCGCCGUCGUUAAUUGAAUGACUCGGCGGGCAGCCUCCGGGAAACCAGAGUGUUUGGGUUCCGGGGGAAGUAUGGUUGCAAAGCUGAAACUUAAAGGAAUUGACGGAAGGGCACCACCAGGAGUGGAGCCUGCGGCUUAAUUUGACUCAACACGGGAAAUCUCACCAGGCCCGGACACCGGAAGGAUUGACAGAUUGAGAGCUCUUUCUUGAUUCGGUGGGUGGUGGUGCAUGGCCGUUCUUAGUUGGUGGAGCGAUUUGUCUGGUUAAUUCCGAUAACGAACGAGACUCUGGCCUACUAACUAGAUGUAGGAUCCCUUUGUGGGUCCGUCACUGCUUCUUAGAGGGACGGGCGGCUUUUAGCCGCACGAGAAUGAGCAAUAACAGGUCUGUGAUGCCCUUAGAUGUUCUGGGCUGCACGCGCGCUACACUGAAGGAAUCAGCGUGUGUUCCCUACCCGAAAGGGUUGGGAAACCCGUUGAACCUCCUUCGUGAUGGGGAUUGGGGAUUGCAAUUAUUCCCCAUGAACGAGGAAUUCCCAGUAGGCGCGAGUCAUAAGCUUGCGUCGAUUACGUCCCUGCCCUUUGUACACACCGCCCGUCGCUACUACCGAUCGAGUGAUUUAGUGAGGACUUCGGACUGGUCUUCGUGGUGGCUCUCGAGUCAUGACGGAGUUCCGGAAAGAUGCCCAAACUUGAUCACUUAGAGGAAGUAAAAGUCGUAACAAGGUUUCCGUAGUGAACCUGCA
rnacentral:rRNA from 1 species